rnacentral:rRNA from 1 species
AAUCAACGCUGGCGGCGUGCCUAACACAUGCAAGUCGAACGAGAAAGGGGAGCAAUCCCUGAGUAAAGUGGCGACCGGGUGAGUAACACGUGACUAACCUACCUUUUAGUGGGGGAUAACCUCGGGAAACCGAGGCUAAUACCGCAUAACAUCGCAAGAUCAAAGCAGCAGUGCGCUGGAAGAGGGGGUCGCGGCUGAUUAGCUAGUUGGCGGGGUAAUGGCCCACCAAGGCGAAGAUCGGUAUCCGGCCUGAGAGGGCGCACGGACACA